rnacentral:tRNA from 1 species
GCCGACGUGGCGGAAUUGGUAGACGCGCUAGCUUGAGGGGUUAGUGGGGAAACCCGUGUCGGUUCGAGUCCGACCGCCGGCACCA